AGAGAGAUAAGCUAAGUCUAAGCUCAUAGGUUCAUACCCUAUUUAUGGCUCCGGCCUCUUU
rnacentral:tRNA from 1 species